UAGCUGCUCUAACCCCACACAUCCUGUCUUCUCUCAGUCUGAGAGGCAUCAGCAGAGGAAACUUCACGCAGCGUCUCCCUGAACACAGGAUGGACUUUCUGCUUCACAGGACGUGUCCUCUCUGAGGAGCUGCCCUCGGUAUGAAGAUGUGGAGGACAGUGUGGGAGACCCUCUCUCAGGUUCAGCUUUGAUGGUGACAGGAGACACAGAAGAGGACUAUGAUGAUGUAGAUGGUAUAGAGCAGGGUCCACAUGUUAUACAGGGUGAGAGAGCCUUGACCACACUGCCCCCUGGGGACGGCCCCCCUGAACCCGACCAGACUGACUAUGAGGAUGUGGGGGAGGAGGGACUAACAGUCCUGCCUGAAGAAAGGUUCACAUACUGUAAAAGGGCCACGUUGGCUUCAUAUUUUAUACAAACCCCAUCAAUAGUUCAGUUUUUGUAAAUUCAUCUGUUUCUUUUUAAAAUGGACAUUAUCCUUUAUUAAAUACUAUAUCUUUGUAAUUUUAUUCAUGACAAAUGAAAUAAACAUACAUUAAAUUCAAA